UGGGGAAUCAUGGUCAAUGGGCGAAAGCCUGAACCUGCGACGCCGCGUGAGUGAUGAAGGUCGUAAGAUCGUAAAACUCUUUUCAGGGAUCUUAAAGCCUGUCUGUCAACAACAGGCAGGUCUGCCUCUCCCUGGAAGAAGCCCCAGCCAACUACGUGCCAGCAGCUGCGGUAAUACGUAGGGGGCGAGCGUUAUUCGGAAUUACUGGGUGUAAAGGGUAUGUAGGCGGCCCUUCAAGUCGCGUGUCAAAGUCCAGUGCUCAACGCUGGGUGUGCACGCGAUACUGACGGGCUUGAGGGCUGGAGAGGUGAGCGGAAUUCCCGGUGUAGUGGUAAAAUACGUAGAGAUCGGGAGGAACACCAGCGGCGCAGGCGGCUCACUAGACAGUUUCUGACGCUAGGAUAUGAGAGCGUGGGGAGCAGAAUA
rnacentral:rRNA from 1 species